UGGGGAAUUUUGGACAAUGGGCGAAAGCCUGAUCCAGCAAUGCCGCGUGUGUGAAGAAGGCCUUCGGGUUGUAAAGCACUUUUGUCCGGAAAGAAAUCCUUGGCUCUAAUACAGUCGGGGGAUGACGGUACCGGAAGAAUAAGCACCGGCUAACUACGUGCCAGCAGCCGCGGUAAUACGUAGGGUGCAAGCGUUAAUCGGAAUUACUGGGCGUAAAGCGUGCGCAGGCGGUUUGCUAAGACCGAUGUGAAAUCCCCGGGCUCAACCUGGGAACUGCAUUGGUGACUGGCAGGCUAGAGUAUGGCAGAGGGGGGUAGAAUUCCACGUGUAGCAGUGAAAAUGCGUAGAGAUGUGGAGGAAUACCGAUGGCGAAGGCAGCCCCCUGGGCCAAAUACUGACGCUCAUGCACGAAAAGCGUGGGGAGCAAAACAGGAUUAGAUACCCUGGUAGUCCACGCCCUAAAACGAUGUC
rnacentral:rRNA from 1 species